UCCAACAUGAACUCUCUCUAACUAUCUUUCUCACUCUCUCUCUUACGCUCUCUUUCUCUCCCUCAUAUCGUGGCCCUUUUUGAAGGGCCACGCAAGCUUUGAAGACCGCAUAAAACAACAUGUCUCAUAAAAUAUAUAAAAAGCCCAGGAACACGGUCGCCAGACAGAAGGAUUGCGCCGCUCAAGAAAUCGAAAAGCACUUUAAAGAACAUUCUCUAAUCUUCAUUUGAAUCCUCUCAAAUCCCUUACACCCUCUGCUUCUCCACCCCCGCAAUGUCUCUGUCCGUUCCACUGCUACAUACACACACUCACCCACGCAAACACACACAUACACAAGUAGCACAAUGUUCUUCCAUUAUUAUAGAAUUGUUCAUUGUUUUUAUUUGAAUCUUUCAACAUUAAACUAUUAACCGCUCAAACAAUAA